CCUACGUGCUGCAGCAGUGGGGAAUAUUGGACAAUGGGCGAAAGCCUGAUCCAGCCAUGCCGCGUGUGUGAAGAAGGCCUUCGGGUUGUAAAGCACUUUCAGUGGGGAAGAAAGCCUUGGGGCUAAUACCCUCGAGGAAGGACAUCACCCACAGAAGAAGCACCGGCUAACUCCGUGCCAGCAGCCGCGGUAAUACGGAGGGUGCGAGCGUUAAUCGGAAUUACUGGGCGUAAAGCGCGCGUAGGCGGUCUGAUAAGCCGGUUGUGAAAGCCCCGGGCUCAACCUGGGAACGGCAUCCGGAACUGUCAGGCUAGAGUGCAGGAGAGGAAGGUAGAAUUCCCGGUGUAGCGGUGAAAUGCGUAGAGAUCGGGAGGAAUACCAGUGGCGAAGGCGGCCUUCUGGACUGACACUGACGCUGAGGUGCGAAAGCGUGGGUAGCAAACAGGAUUAGAUACCCGAGUAGUC
rnacentral:rRNA from 1 species